CGACAAAAAUUUACAAAAUAAUAAUACAUAAAAUAGCCUAAAUAAAAUCAAUUAAAGAAACAAAGGAUCUAAAUUAAAACUUUAAAGUUUCAUUCUUCAUAUGUAUUCAUGCUUUCAUAUUUUCAUCUUACACGAUGUUAUUGUCGUGUACCUGAUAUUGGAAACAAGAGGAGGAAGGUUAGAAAUUAGCAAGGCAGUAAAUAGCUAAACCCAGCAACAUAUUUCAAUCAAAACCCAGUAAAAUCAAACCAGGAAAUACCAACCGAAAUGGACUUGACCCACAACAAUAUCAACACAAGCCAAAUGAACUCAAAGACACACUAGAAUUACUUAAGAUCGGUCUUAGUGUAUUUGAAUCAAGAGAAAUAAAAUCAAUGAAGCAAGAAGAGAAGCUUCAAAUAAUCAGUUGGGUUUUCAGCUCUCUAAUCUUUUCAACUGUCAAUCCUUUUCUUAUUCUCUGUUUUCAUUCUCUUAAGUUCUGAAAUUUUUUGAUGUCCAAAUUCCAUUCCCCCUUUAAGUGUUAAAUGAGUCCUAUUAUAUACCUAAAGCAAGACUUGUUUCUCUACCCCUUUACUAUUAUUACUACCCAUUUUAUUAUUACUCAUACUAUUUAUGAUUUAUAGUUAAGUAAAAAGUAGUCAACGCGGCCCCACCGUUCCCCUCUUUUCAAUGGACCACAUUAUUAAUCCUCUUUUUACUUUACAUCAUUAUGCUCCCCACAAGUCUUGUCCCCUCUUAUUUUAAUUAAAAGUUAUGGGCCUACAUUUAAUCAAUUUCCAAAAUACCGCAAAAUUAUUAAAAUUACCAUUCUACCCCAUGCCUUCAAUCUGCACCAAAAUUAUAAAAGAACACAAACUUACUACAGCUAUAACCAAAUUCCUAAUCAAAUUCAACAGCAAUUCAAACUAAAUGAUGAACAACAAAGGACCAACUGAAUUUAUUUUGAACAACAUUCUUAACAAGCAUACUUUCGGAUUCAACAACAAUAACAAAAUUGAACAUAAUAAACAAGUAGACUACAAUCACUAAAUUCAAAUUCAAAUUAAACUUAUCAUAACAAUAAAAUUAAUUCAAAUCACUAAACUCAAUUAUCAAUUGAACUUCAAAUUAAAUCUAACAACAUUAGGAUUUAUCAAACUCAAAUCACAAUUUAAGCUUGAAAUUUAAUUAAGACCAAAUAUCAUCCAAACAAAGAUUCAGUGAUUAAACUAAACACUUCUAGAUUAAACUAAACAAGAACAAAUGAACAUUAUAAACAUACAAGACGAAACUAAAUUCAUAUGGAGAAUAAUAAAGAGAAAGAAAAACUAACAAUACACAAAGUGAAACCAUUUGAACCAAAUAACACCAAACAAUUGCAGGAGUGGUUACUGUUUGUACAAGCAUUUGAAACUAACUAAUCAAGCAAAGAAGUAUCAUUAACUUAAUCAAGAAAAUCAGUAGAAGAGAUAGAGACCAAACCAAAAUAAAGAAUCGGACCGGAGAUCGGACCCAACCCUAGCGACUCAAAACAAACGUGUACUUAACACAACUUUAAUCCCUGUUCAGCCCAGAUGCGAUCUGGUUUUGACGUGGAUAGCAGAUGGUUGUUUGGUCAGUGACGUUGGUUGACGACGAGAGUGACGAGCUGGGAUCUGGGGACUUCGUGCCUCAUUUUUUUAGCCAAGCAGAUCUGAGGAUCGAGCUUCUUCCUCGUCGUACGACCUUGACUCACCACACCUCGACGUACCGAAAAAACUCGAGCUAAACCCCAAAAAUGAGAUCAAUCGACAGAAUACAAAGAUGAUGCGUUUUGCUAUUUUUAGCUGGAUUUCGGACUGAAAUAGUAACGUUUGGAGGUUGUUUGACUGGCUGGGAAGCUGGUGGUCGAUGAAGAAGAAACAUCGAUGGUGGAGGGGUCGUUAUGGCUAGACGUUGCAGGUUGGUGUUUGCUGAUGCUGGUUCGACGAGAUGCGGCUGAAACUGGUGGUCGAAGAAGAAGAAGAAGAAGCAGCGGGCGGUCCAGGGUGGUUAGCGAUGGUUAUGGGGACGGGUUAUUGACGUUGGAGACAAAGAUUGAGUGGUCGUCGAUGGCUGCUCGUGAGGAAGACGGGGGGGAGCAUGGGUCGUUUGGGUGUGGCGGCUGGGGAGUCUCCUGGGGUUUGGGAGGGUGGUUUGGAGAAGGAGAAGAGAGACUAGGUUUUUUUUCUUCUCUCUAGUUCAAAAAAAUAUGAUAGUUUUUUGUUAUUUGGGGGUUGGACCGGGCCAAGAGGUUUUGGGUUGGGGUUAAUUCAAGAAUUGGCCCAAUUUUGAUUUUUCUUUCAUAUUUUU
rnacentral:lncRNA from 1 species